UUGAAUUUCCAGGACUGAGAUUUUGGGCCAGAGUGUAUGAACAUCUCAAUGCUGUGUUGUCCAAAUGUUUUCCCGAGAAAUUGCACUAGUUAAUUGUAUUCCACUACUAGUUUCCUUGUGGUUGCUUGACCCUUCUAAAGUAUGCUUUGUAAAACUAUUAAAUGUCUUUAGCACAACGUUCCUCAUGAUGAUAGAAUAAAUUAUUUUAGGAAAGAACAUAUAACUGGUAUUGUGAAAUGAGAUUAAUUGGCGAGGAAUUUGUGGCUUUAAUUUUAAUCCCAUGUUCAUUUAUAAAAAGGCAUUGGUUUUGUUGUGGGAAGACCAUUGAGAAGGUGGAAAGUUAGGAGACUGAAUAGAUUGUGCCUGCAUUUCUGUAAUAGUUCUGUGACCUUAAGCAGGGAACUCAAUCUACACAUUUCAGAUUUCCUCACCCUAAUGGUUGAAGGAGCCCUGGUGGCACAGCGGUUAAAGCGCUUAGCUGCUAACUGAAAGGUCAGCAGCUCAAACUCACCAGCUGCUCCGCUAGGGAAAGAUGUGGAAGUCUGCUUCCGUAAAGAUUUACAGCCUUGGAGACCCUAUGGAGCAGCUCCGUUCUAUGCUAUGAGUCAGAAUCUACUCGAUGGAAACAGGUUUAAUGAGCAGUUGCUGGAUUACUUCCCUUUUUUUUGGUUGUUCUAAGUCAAGGGCAGGAGCGCCCCUGUUCAUACAUAGCGAGCCUCAUACUUGGUACUCAGUAAAUCCUUGUUGAAUUGGUAAUAGACAUUCUCGUGCCCAGUUUUAAAUGUGUAUCCUUCCCGUCUUUUCUUCCUUUCAAUCUUCUGAGUGACAGACCAUGCUAAGCUAGCUUACAGCUUGGUUCUUUUUUACUUAGCUGCUCCUUGAUGGAAACCCUGGUAGCGUAGUGGUUAAGAGCUACAGCUGCUAACCAAAAAGGUUGGCAGUUCGAAUCCACCAGGCACUCCUUGGAAACUAUGGGGCAGUUCUACUCUGUCUUACAGGGUCGCUGUGAGUCAGUAAUCGACUCGACGGCAGUGGGUUUUCGUUUUGGCCUCCUUGAUAGAGGUGUAACUGUCUGCCUCUUUAGUACUAAUGUUUACGUUAAAUAUGCCGUUUUGGGAUAUAAACCCCAAAGACAGUCAAAGUGACUUUUAGAAGUUGAGGAGAAUAAGUGGAAAAUAAGACAUGUGUGAUGUUCAUAGUCGUUACAAGUGAUUAUGUAAUUUAUAGCUCUAGGAAAAGUAAAUAAAAUAUUAAAGCAUAUAUUUGUAUUGUUUCAUUUGACUUUUCUAUGUGCAAAGCACCGGCUUAGGUCCUGAGGCACAUACUAAAAGACUGAACACAUGUCUGUAUUUUAGGACUAGCAGUGUUUCUGUAGUAUCAUACGAGGCUUUGCUGUACUUCAGCGUCGUUAAAUACUAUUGACAUUUCUAAUCAUCACGAGAUUUUCAUUAAGGAAUAAUGUAUUUGUGGCCGUGGACGUGAGGUAAUUGGUCCCUUGUUCCUGUUAACGUAUUGAUGUUGUGGGAAGCAUGGACCUAAUGAAUGGACAGGCAAGCAGUGUGAAUAUUGUGGCUACUGCUUCUGAGAAGAGUAGCAGCUCUGAAUCUUUAAGCGACAAAGGUUCUGAACUGAAGAAAAGCUUCGAUGCCGUGGUAUUUGAUGUUCUUAAGGUUACACCAGAAGAGUAUGCGGGUCAGAUAACACUAAUGGACGUUCCAGUAUUUAAAGCCAUCCAACCAGAUGAACUUUCAAGUUGCGGAUGGAAUAAAAAAGAAAAAUAUAGUUCUGCACCAAAUGCAGUUGCCUUCACAAGGAGAUUUAAUCAUGUAAGUUUUUGGGUUGUUAGAGAGAUUCUUCAUGCUCAAACGUUAAAAAUUAGAGCAGAAGUUUUGAGCCACUAUAUUAAAACUGCUAAGAAACUGUAUGAGCUGAAUAACCUCCAUGCACUUAUGGCAGUGGUUUCUGGCUUACAAAGUGCCCCAAUUUUCAGGUUGACUAAAACAUGGGCGUUAUUAAGUCGAAAAGACAAAACUACCUUUGAAAAAUUAGAAUAUGUAAUGAGUAAAGAAGAUAACUACAAAAGACUCAGAGAUUAUAUAAGUAGCUUAAAGAUGACACCUUGCAUUCCCUAUUUAGGUAUCUAUUUGUCAGAUUUAACAUACAUUGAUUCAGCGUACCCAUCAACUGGCAGCAUUUUAGAAAAUGAGCAAAGAUCAAAUUUAAUGAAUAACAUCCUUAGAAUAAUUUCUGAUUUACAGCAGUCCUGUGAAUAUGAUAUUCCCAUGUUGCCUCAUGUCCAAAAAUAUCUGAACUCUGUUCAGUAUAUAGAAGAACUACAAAAGUUUGUGGAAGAUGAUAAUUACAAGCUUUCAUUAAAGAUAGAGCCAGGGACAAGCACACCACGUUCUGCUGCUUCCAGGGAAGAUUUAGUAGGUCCUGAAGUAGGAGCAUCUCCACAAAGUGGACGAAAAAGUUUGGCAGCUGAAGGAGCCUUGCUACCACAGACUCCCCCAUCCCCUCGGAAUCUGAUUCCACAUGGACAUAGGAAGUGCCAUAGCUUGGGUUAUAAUUUCAUUCAUAAAAUGAACACAGCAGAGUUUAAGAGUGCAACGUUCCCAAAUGCGGGGCCAAGACAUCUGUUAGAUGACAGCGUCAUGGAGCCCCACGCACCAUCUCGAGGCCAAGCUGAAAGUUCUACUCUUUCUAGUGGAAUAUCAAUAGGUAGCAGUGAUGGUUCUGAACUAAGUGAAGAGACCUCAUGGCCUGCUUUUGAAAGGAACAGAUUAUACCAUUCUCUCGGCCCAGUGACAAGAAUGGCACGAAAUGGCUAUCGAAGCCACAUGAAGGCCAGCAGUUCUGCAGAAUCGGAAGAUUUGGCAGUACAUUUAUAUCCAGGAGCCGUUACGAUUCAGGGUGUUCUCAGGAGAAAAACUUUGUUAAAAGAAGGCAAAAAGCCUACAGUGGCAUCUUGGACAAAAUAUUGGGCAGCUUUGUGUGGGACUCAACUUUUUUACUAUGCUGCCAAAUCUCUAAAGGCUACAGAAAGAAAACACUUCAAAUCAACGUCAAAUAAGAACGUAUCUGUGGUAGGAUGGAUGGUGAUGAUGGCCGAUGACCCCGAACAUCCAGAUCUCUUCUUGCUGACUGACUCUGAAAAAGGAAAUUCAUAUAAGUUUCAAGCUGGCAGUCGGAUGAAUGCAAUGCUAUGGUUUAAGCAUUUGAGUGCAGCCUGCCAAAGUAACAAACAACAGAAUGCAUUGAGAAGACUCAGAUGCAGCACCUUCAACCACGUUCAGGCAACUUAGGAGGAAAUGAAACUUCUACUUUAUUUAAAGAUGAGUUUCUUAUGACCAGACUUGAGAAUUUAUACUUUAAUGUUCCUACAAACUUGAUGACUUUUGAAUAAAUGCCUAAGAAAGAAGAAAGGUGAACUAUUGCUCCAAAGUGAGAGUGGAGAACCUGACAAAAGAGCGCCAGCUAUAAACUGAUCCUGUGCAGGAAGGAGCCCAGCGGUUCCGGCUCAGCCUUUGGAGUUCUGAACCAAAAAGCACUAAUUUCAGGGAAUGAAGUGAGAACAAAUUAGAGUUGCAAAACGAACUGCCACGGACCAUGCUUCUUAUCUCUGAACUGACCUGUGGAAACCACUGCCUUAAAAGAAUGAAAGGAGAACCAACGUGAAACACCAAACAGUGUGUGUGAACCCUCUGGCGGUGCUGUGCUUGGAAUAGAUCGUAGCUAGUUUGCAUUUCUUUUAACUUUGUACUAAUUUUGGAGGGGGGAACCGCCUUUUUUAGAUACACUUUAAAAAGAAAAAACCUAUUUCUUAGGGGCUACGUCAGGAGCUGAUUUUGAAAUGAGGUGUAAAGAUAUUCAGACUUUGUAGGGAUCAUACCAGCAACCCCCCUGAAAGGUUUGUUUCACUUCCAUUGGUCUGGAGCCUCACUCAUUGUCUCCCAGCUUGAGUGUGGGAAUUAGAAUGUUAAUAUGAGUUGUUGGGGUUUGUUUGAGGUUUUGGUUUUUUUCUUCUUUUGUUGUUGUUUUGGGGGGGUUUUGUUUUGUUUUGGGCAGGGGGACUUUUUUUUUUUUUAGACACCGAAGUUCUGAAAUUUUGUACUGUACCCAGAACAUUGUUUCUUGAAGGAGGCACAAAGGCUUAGUAUUCAUAUGCCGGGCAUCUAAAAAGUAGACUCCAGAAAACAUGGUUGUUUCUAACUGGGUUUAAAGGUUAGCCUUCUGUAUGAAUUCGUUGUCAGACCACAGAUCUGCUUACUAAAGAGAACUGUAAUCCUAACCUAAACUUUUCUGGGAGGAUCUUAAAAAAAAAAUAUCUUUUUCAAGUUAGUUGGAUUAGCCCAUCUCUUGGGUCACGGGUGAUUUUUAUCAUCAAGGUGAUACAUUGACAUUUUGUCAGGAUAUUUUAUAGUGUUUAAUGUGCACAAUGCCAGAGUUUUUUUCUUGUUGUUGUUUUGUUUUAUAAUUAUUACUCAAUUGCAUUAUUUUUGUUCAGUAUGAGAUGCAGGAUCACAUUUUUUUGAAAGAGAUUCCACAUGUGUAAGUAUGCAUGUGUUUUGUUAUAAGACAUACAAGAUAAUUCUUGAAAGGAAAAAGGUGAAAGCUUGAGAUUCUGGGAAUUUUAAGUAUCAGAACUUCCAAUCUUACAUAACUUACCCUUUAUAACAAAACAUUUUUCUGAAAACUUCUACAGGUCCCUGUCAUGAGACCAUGUCUGGUCAGUGGUUGAGCAUGCAGUUUGUGAUAGCUCAUCUGUGCAACAGUGUGUUUAGUUUCCAAAACAAACAUUGAAUUACCCCAAAACGGCGUGAAGGCGUGGCCUUAGAAUUUUAACAAAAAAAUAGCACUUGAACAAAGGCUAUCUGUUGGAUGUUAUAACCUUGCAAGGCAUCAUAAAUUUUAAGAGUAGCCCAGAGUAAGAAAUGUUUUUUCCCUGAUAUCUUCUAAUAGAUCCCUAAUACUUUGGGCCUCACAUAAAAAGAAUUUCUCACAUUUGCAUUCUUAGAGAAUUUUAUACUUUUUUUACCAUAAGUAUUUUGCCCGUGAGUCUGUGAAACUUAAAUAGAAAAUAUUACCUACAUAAUAAUUAGCUUAAAAUCCAUUCAAGGAAAAGUAGAAGAGCUUUAUCUGGGCGUUAAAUUUUUUAAUUUAGUUUUCUCUUUGGAGAAGAUAUAAGAGUUCAAAUAUGUAUCUCAUAUCACACAGUUAGAAAUAGCGUUCUUUCUGGUUUUGUGGAAAGUGCCAGAGAACAUGGGCUGGGAGAGGGCAAAAAGUUACCCGUGUUGAAGGAUGUUUCAAUUAAAGAACUCCCAAGCUUAACCCACGUUGGGUACAUAGAGGGACACCGUCUGCGUAGCCAGCAGUAUUACUGUGUAGACCUUGCACAUCUUUGUUUUGCAUUUUUUUAAUUCCUUAAUUUGAUUAUUUCUCUUUAGAAAUAAGCAUUUUAACAGUGUAUGUGCUUUUUAAAAAAAUAUUGUAGAUGAGAACCCUGUGGAACUUUUUUUCUGUUAUUUUGUCAUAAAUAAGCUAAAGUAGAUAUGUUAUAGGUUAACCAUGUCUGUGGAGAUAUGCAACUGGAAGUUGGAGCCUGACAUCACACAGUUUUGCCAAAGAGAGAGCGAAGCUGGAAGAUGUGUUUGAUUUUUUUCCAGCUCUAAACAUUAAUGGAUGCUUGCUUAGUAGAUUGGGCUAUUAGUCCUCUGUAGAUAGAAUUGUGGCCUCUGAGUGACUGAUAACUCUUAAUGGUGCAGUAGAUGUUGUCAUUUUUCUGUCUUCAAAUUUUUCCAUUCAAGAGAUCAGUCAUUGCUUUUUAAGAUUAUAUUAGCAUUAAAAACAAAUUGAAACUUGUGAGAGAAGUGAAAAUUACAAUAGUGUAGAUGAAUUUUUUAUCUAUAUAAUUCAUCAAAGGAUAUCUGGUGAUAAUUCAAACAAAGAAGUCACCAAAAUACAUGAAAUAUUUAGGUAAUUUAUUAGUGGCAAGGUGAAUUUUUUUUCAUCUUAUUAAGCCUGUCCUCAAUUGUAAAUUAGUGACUCAAAACUCAAAACUCGCACCAGUGAUGAAAUCAUUUGUUUCUCUCCUAGCGAAGAAGAGCUCAUUAGAAAUUCAAUUGCAAUUUAAGAUUAAGCUUGUUUAUGAUGUGGGUAGUGACUGGCACAUAAUAAAGCCUGGAAUAGUAGUAGAUAAUAUUAGCCAAACUACAUCUUAUUUAACAAUUUAUUUGAACCUGGAGGCUUAUUUUUCAUAUAGAAAUAACAUCAGUUUUUUAACUCUAGCUGUAAAAAUGGCUACGUAAUGCUCUGAUCACCACUUCUACUUUCACUCCCCCUGAGUGUUUAGGCCGUGCUUAUUUUUCAGAGUAUAUUUUUACUGUAACUUCCAAACUAUAAGAAUUGAAAGAGAACUGAUCAAACAUGCCUUCUUAUUUUGUCUUCUUCACUAUGUAGAUAUUAUUUGUGUAAACAUUUCAAAAAAGGGAUCCAGACAAUUUGAGAAGUUUGUUUUCUCUCUAGGCAUGUGCUUCAAGGGGCAGAAAAUGCCACGUGGCUGUUGCACUGUAGUGUUGGUACGGAGGCCUUCUGUAUAUCAAGAGUCACUUAUAGCUGCAAAGUUUUUAUAAGUGGGUUUAUUCCUCUUCUAGAACAUUUUUAAAGGAGCCCUAGAAGCACUACUGUUAUAGAAGGGAAAACCAUGGAAAAAAUGUUUAUAGUCUGCAGCGAAUGCGCUACAUAUACCGGUUGAAACUGGGGCCCUCCAAGAGCACCCUGUUGGCCUCUCGGGAUAAUUAGAAUCCACCUGACCAAAUGACUUGAGCAUAAGCCUUUUUCUCUUUUUUCUAAGGUUAAAUCAAUAAGCUAUAUACCUUUACUACUGAAAUCAAAACUAGAGGGGAGAUGUCAUAUUAAUUGGAAAUCAAUAGCCAUAGUAGAUUUAUUUCAUUAAUUUUUUUUUAAAGAAUAUGUCCACUCUUGAUUUCCACCGUUUUGAGGCACGUGCAUUUACAACCCGUUCUUAAACCACCACAUUGUUUUAUCCUGUAAGCAAGAAGUACUAAUGUUGGUUAACAAGAUAUUCUUUAAUAAAAGAAAUCCUUUGCUCCAAAGGCUUUUGAAAUAAUUAGAUCCCUUUUUGAAAAUGCAGGUGAAUUUAACCGUGCCCUGGUAGGACAGUAGUAUUGCUGUUGCAUGAAUGGACAAUGCAAAGCAAGCGGUGAGGCUUGUCUGACUUCUUCAGUGACAUUGUGAGGUUUGCUUUUAUUUUCUCUCUCAUUCCUUUUGUAUUAUUUCUCUCAAACAGUUUUACAGCCAGAGCGGCAUUCUGUUUUUUUCCUAAGCUUUGAGAUAAAAAUUGUUCAUUAAACCACAUUGAUGAUGAAUUAUUUUCCAUGUGAAGUCAGCCUUUUCAAAAUAGUUUAAGUACUUUUUGGUUUUGCAUCCUGAAAAAUGGCUUGUGUCUUAAGUGAUUGUUUUCUAUUUAGAGGGUUCUAAUGAAAGAUACUUAUGUGUACAAACUCUAAGCUUGUUGAAAGCAAUUUCAUUACAUAGGUAUCUCAAGCAGUAGUGUGGGAGAUUUUGGUCAGUGCCUUAUCCAUUUGAAGACCAACCCUGGGCAUCGAGUGUGACAGUAAUCAUUUGCCCUCUUACUCCUCUUACUUCAGGAAUGUGUGCUAUCCCUCUCUCCACCAGCUUAGUCUUUCUCACAGUGAGUCUAAGAACGCCGUACAGAUAAUGCUAGGUAAUUGUUACAGUCCUCCUUGGUUUUGAAUCUUUUUUAGACAAGCUCCCUCCCUUCUCCUCUCCCUCCAGGAUAUGAGAUUAAAAAUAAACCCACCCAAGUCAGCCUUUAGGUGAGCACUGUUGAAAGCAACUUGAAGAGCAUCCAACUGAGAUAAUUUGUAUUUUGUUGUUGUUGUUUUGAGCACAGGUUAAAUCAUAAAGCCUUUCCGAAAAUCCAUAAAAGAUAUAACUAGAAAGAUUGGUUUGGGUUUUAAUAAAACUACUGACAUCUUGUAAUGAGAGUCCCAUUGACCAGAGUUGAGAUUUAUUUCAGUUCAUUCAUUCUUAUAUUAAAUAAAACUCAGAACAAACCAGUAGUCACUUAA